rnacentral:lncRNA from 1 species
AACCAUAAAAAAACAGAAAGAUUAAAUAAAGUGGACCGGAAAAAAUAUGACUAACUUGACCUAACAAUAAUCAUCCCGAGAUACACAGAAGUACAUAUCCUUUUAAUCACGAGACGAGAUAGAGGAAUAGUUGAAGUUAUUAACCUUUUAUUAUCAAAACAUUACAUUUAUGGAUUAUAUUACAAAUCAAUACGUGGAUAGGACGAACCAAGUCACCUUCCACCCCUUCAGCAGCUCAAACCACAAUAUAAACACAAAAAACCCACUCACAAACCUUAAUAGAAAACACUUUCAUCAUUAUUAUAGCCAAAGGAUUAAUGCAUAAACCAUGUUAAUUAAGUUGUUCUCAAACACAACAUUAUUUUAAAAACUCUAGAAGCUGAACUAUUUAUGAGUACAGAUCAUAGCUAGGCUAAACCUAAAUCCUGCUUGCCCUUAGAGAUUAUUUUAACUAUAACUUCCUCAAAGGGAAAUUGAAAUGCCAAAGGAUACAAGUUGCCCUUGGUAACUAGAACUAGAAAACCACCACUGAAGAAAAUGGCAAUUUUCUAACCUUGAGUUGGGACUAAGAUAAAAGAUAGCAGCUGCAAAUAAGCACCCAGUUUCUCCAGGCGAACGCGCCAAAAACUGGCUUUAGUCGCCACCCUUUUGCCACCUGAGUUGGUGACAAAAGGGUGGUUGCUCAUCAAGAACACUGCACAAAAGGAAUAGUCUAAACGGAGAGGUGGGAUGGAGGGUUUCAUUAGGAAGGUUUUGUUGGUUGUUUAUAAAGGUGUGGACAUCAUGUUGUUAGUUGGAAAAAGAAAAAACUUGCACUCGGUAGAUAUACUAAAUUAU